UACGUAGGGUGCGAGCGUUGUCCGGAAUUAUUGGGCGUAAAGAGCUCGUAGGCGGUGUGUCGCGUCGGCCGUGAAAACCUGGGGCUUAACUCUGGGCGUGCGGUCGAUACGGGCAUCACUAGAGUUCGGCAGGGGAGACUGGAAUUCCUGGUGUAGCGGUGAAAUGCGCAGAUAUCAGGAGGAACACCGGUGGCGAAGGCAGGUCUCUGGGCUGACACUGACGCUCAUGCACGAAAGCGUGGGGAGCAAACAGG
rnacentral:rRNA from 1 species